rnacentral:lncRNA from 1 species
CACCUUCUAGCUGAUUUUUGCUUUAUACCUUGGCAUCCUCCGUGAAUGACUAAGCCCUUGACAUCCAGGAACUUGUUUGGCUCUUGGAAGAGGAGCGGAUUCUGCUGAGCUCUGAUGGAUGGCUCAGGCCUUAGGUUGGAGAGAAGAGGGGAUUUCUACAAGGAUGGGGGACACUGUGCAGGACAGAGAGGAACUAACCGAGGAGUUCGACGAAGUUCACACUGGGGCUGGACCACGGAAGGACUGCCCGGAGGGUGGGAGCACCCGGAGGGCAAGGUGUCUGCGGC